rnacentral:rRNA from 1 species
AUUGAACGCUGGCGGCAUGCCUUACACAUGCAAGUCGAACGGUAACAGGUCUUCGGAUGCUGACGAGUGGCGAACGGGUGAGUAAUACAUCGGAACGUGCCUAGUAGUGGGGGAUAACUACUCGAAAGAGUGGCUAUACCGCAUGAGAUCUACGGAUGAAAGCAGGGGAUCGCAAGACCUUGUGCUACUAGAGCGGCCGAUGGCAGAUUAGGUAGUUGGUGGGAUAAAAGCUUACCAAGCCGACGAUCCGUAGCUGGUCUGAGAGGACGAUCAGCCACACUGGGACUGAGACACGGCCCAGACGCCUACGGGAGGCAGCAGUGGGGAAUUUUGGACAGUGGGCGCAAGCCUGAUCCAGCAAUGCCGCGUGCAGGAGGAAGGCCUUCGGGUUGUAAACUGCUUUUGUACGGAACGAAAAGCCCUGGGUUAAUACCCUGGGGUCAUGACGGUACCGCAAGAAUAAGCACCGGCUAACUACGUGCCAGCCGCCGCCGUAACAC